GUAAAAGAACUUUAAGAUAUGAAAAUGCAAGCAGGUAUGUUGACCCAAAAAAGAUGUGGACCAAAUAAUUGAAGGUAUCAAACUGCGGAUUGGAUUUUUCUUUUUGAAUUCAAUGAGAAGAAACUACUGGACUCUGCUCUCUCCUCUACCCCCUUUCAAGAUGUCUUGGAAAAUCUGAAGUGGACUAUGCGCUCAAGGUGUUUGAUGAUAUGUCUGGCACCGGAAAACUUGAGUUUUUACUAUGGCCAUCGUCAAUUGCGCCUUACCUGCUUAUAUACAUUCUUGCUCUUUCUUACUAAGGAGUAUAUACAUAUACUACUGCUGUAUAUUCCUAAAAGUGAAUAUUCGUGAAAAUCAUCGGGUCAUUGGUCCC